CAGAGGUUACUGCUAUCGRGRKUSGRCUAAGCCAUGCGAGUUGAAUGUUCUUCGUGAACAUGGCGGACUGCUCAGUAACACGUGGACAACCUACCCUUGGGUCCGGCAUAAUCCUGGGAAACUGGGAAUAAUUCCGGAUAGGUCACCGAUGCUGGAAUGCGCGGUGGCCGAAAGCUCCGGCGCCCGAGGAUGGGUCUGCGGCCUAUCAGGGUUGUAGUGGGUGUAACGUACCUACUAGCCUACGACGGGUACGGGUUGUGAGAGCAAGAGCCCGGAGAUGGAUUCUGAGACACGAAUCCAGGCCCUACGGGGUGCAGCAGGCGCGAAAACUUUACAAUGCGGGAAACCGUGAUAAGGGGAUCUCGAGUGCCAGCAUAUAAUGUUGGCUGUCCAGAUGCCUAAAAAGCAUCUGUUAGCAAGGGCCGGGCAAGACCGGUGCCAGCCGCCGCGGUAACACCGGCGGCCCGAGUGGUAACCGCUAUUAUUGGGUCUAAAGGGUCUGUAGCCGGCCAGGUAAGUCCCUUGGGAAAUCUGGCAGCUCAACUGUCAGGCUGCUAGGGGAUACUGUUUGGCUUGGGACCGGGAGAGGUGAGAGGUACCUUGGGGGUAGGGGUGAAAUCUUGUGAUCCUCGAGGGACCACCAGUGGCGAAGGCGUCUCACCAGAACGGGUCCGACGGUAAGGGACGAAAGCUAGGGGCACGAACCGGAUUAGAUACCCGGGUAGUCCUAGCCGUAAACGAUGCUCGCUAGGUGUCAGUCACGGUGCGACCGUGAUUGGUGCCGUAGGGAAGCCGUGAAGCGAGCCACCUGGGAAGUAUGGCCGCAAGGCUGAAACUUAAAGGAAUUGGCGGGGGAGCACUACWMCSGRUGGAGCCUGCGGUUUAAUG
rnacentral:rRNA from 1 species